rnacentral:lncRNA from 1 species
UGGAAAGUGCUAAGUAGUAACUAGUAUUACUAAUGCCAAGCAGGGAAGGGGUUAGUGGGUGGGAACCCUCCUCAUUACUUCUACCAAGUGUUAUUGUACCCAUCUAGGGUAUAAGAACUGUGGAAACCCAGGUUUACACUGUAGAGUUACUCUAAUUAUAGCAUAUCAUGGAGUUAAUUGUGGACCCCAUUUAACAACAGCUUUGUCACAGGGCAGUUUUGCAAGAGUGAGACUGAACUCUAUUGUUUUCAUCCUCAUUAUCUUAAAUGAACAGUUUGCAAUAUGUGAUAAUACCACUGGCAUCUGUUUCUGAAUGUUUCCACUCACAAGACCCAAAACAAUUCCACAAAGAAAAGACUUCUUUCGGUUGUUCUGGAGUCUUUCUAAAACAGCUUCUACUGGGAGAUUAAUUAUAGAAGCCACAGAAUUUCCUGAAAAUGGUAAAACAUUUUAAAGAAAUACUAAGACACUACAUGAUAAAUGACUUGACUCUUUAUUGCCUAACAAUCCAAAAGAAAAAUGCAUGUGUGAAACAGAACAGGAUGUAAUGGAAAUCUAUGUAGAUGGACUAUAAAAUGGAUUUUAUUAACUAUUUACAGUGGCUGUGUAAAUUGUUUUUGUCUGUGCUUGAGAAAGUUCUGUCAUUGUUUUUAGGUCUUUCUUGUUGCUUAUCUUUCAGAUUUGCAGUAUAAAGGUGAGUGGCUCCAAAUGUCAGUGGUUGUCAGCUAGAUCUUCAGCACAUGGAAUUUUGAAGACCAAGGAGAGAUAGGAGAACGGGUCAUCAUAGGGGUUGAUGGGCCAGCUUUAUUCUAAAUGACUGAAGACUUCUGUUCUUUUCAACAAACACAGUCCUCCAAUUAGGAGCUGCAAAUAAGAUUAUAUGCCCUGAAUAAGUCUGAAAAGGUCCUUUUAUAAUUAGAAAGUUUGUGUGUGGGAAGUGGAAGCAGCAUGAAGUGCUCACUGUGGCUUUAUUAAAAGAGUGACAUGAAGAUUUUCCCAAAUCCUCAUCUGAGUGCUCGAAAAUGAUAAAAUAAAAAUUAUGAAAAACUGUAUGCAUAUUCCAUUUCUUCUUUUUCUUUCUGAAAGCUUUCACAUUUAUGCUAUAGAAACAAGUCAAUGGUUUUUUAAAAUUUUAUCAGGCAUAUUCGAAACAGACUGUCAUUUGAUAGUGUGCAGAUUGUUAAAAUACAAGUGAAAAUGAUUUCAAUGAAGGGAUGAAGUUUAAUACAGUGCAUACUUUAUAUUUUCAUUUUAACACUUUUAUGAUCGUCACUCCAUCACUACAGUGACAUAAUAUUUUGUUAAAUAUGGUUGGACUUAACUUAUAUUAAGCUUCCUGGUCUGUGGACACACAGGACUGAUUGUGCUCAGCUACUCUUCUAGACCAAUCAGACUUUAGUAUGUAAAUGGACAUUUCCUGGAUGAACCAAUGACCGUCCCCCACGCCCCCCCGCCCUCCCCCCCCCCCCCCCACACACAUUGCACUCGGGACCCAGUUGCAUACAGCCCUUACAGCUUCACAGAAGGAAGAUGCCUGCUGGACACAGCUUCCUAUGAGCUAAGACGGGAAGUCAAGGCUGGCAGGAAAGAGGAAGAGCUGAGAGGCUAGAUAAUAAUAGGAAAAUAACAGUUCCAGGCACUGUGGACAGAACCACAGCCAAUCUGCGGCUCAGCCACUUCCACAAAUAUAUUUUGAGUGCUUACAAUGUGCCAGACACUGUCCGGGGGCUGGAGAUACAGCAGUGGACAGAGACAGAUAUCCCUGUCCUCAGAGAGCUGACAUUCUAGACUUUCUGAACUAAUGUGACUCCAGUGGAUUGUUAUUUUUUGUAGUUUAAGUUAUGAAAAAAUUAUUAUUCGGAGAUAAAAUUAUUUAACAAUAUUGAAUGUGCUCUUUCCAGCUGCAUUCUCACUACCCCACUCCUAUCCCAUCCAGAAAUUUAGACACACUCCUCCCUGUAGGGAUCACCAUGCCACACAGACUAUAAAUGUGUUCAGCUGCUGGGCUGUUCUACUGAGAGGACUUUUAUGUCUAGAUGGAACCAUAGGCUUUACAUCAUAGCAAGGUGUAAUUUUGACAAAUGGUUCUAAGUCCUGGUUGCACAAUAGAGUCAUCUGGGGAAGCUUUAUAAAAACACCUAAUGCCUAUGAUCCCUUGAAUAUCACACCGACAGCACAGGAAACAGAAGCAAAAGUAGACAAAUGGGGCUGCAUUGAACUAAAAAGUUUCUGCACAGCAAAGGAAACAAUCAGCAGAGUGAAAAGGCAACCUGUGGAAUAGGAGAGAAUAUUUGCAAACCAUAUAUCUGAUAAAGGGUUAGUAUGGAAAAUAUGUAAGAAACUCAUACAAUUUAAUAGCAAAAAAAUCAAUAGCCUAAUUUAAAAAUGGGAAAAUGACUUGAAUAGACAUUUCUCCAAAGAAAAUAUACAAAUGGUCAACAGGUGUAUGAAAAGAUGCUCAACAUCAGUAAUCAUCAAAGAAAUGUAAAUCAAAACCACAAUAAAAUACCAUCUGACACCGGUGUGGACAGCCACUAUUAAAAGAAAAAAAAGGAAAAGAAGAAACAGAAGGAAAGAAAAGAAUAAAUGUUGGUUAGGAAAUGGAGAAACUGGAACCCUUGUACGCUGUUGGUGGGGAAAAAAGAUAGAGCAGCUGCUAUGAAAAACGGUAUGGAGAUUCCUCAAAAAAUUAAAAAUAGAGCUACCAUAUGAUCCAGCAUUCCCAUGUCUGGGUAUUUAUGCAAAAGAACUGAAAUCAGGAUCUUGAAGAGAUAUUUGUCCUCCAUGUUUCUUGCAACACUACUCACAAUAGCUAAGAGGUAGAAACAACCUAAAGGCCCACCAACUGAUGAAUGGAUAAAGAAAAUGUGGUGGGUGCAUCCAGUGGAAUAUUAUUCAGCUUUAAAACAGAAGGAAAUCCUGACACAUGCUACAACACAGAAGAACUUGAGGACAUUAUGAUAUGUGAAAUAGGCCAGUCACAGAAAGACAAAUACUGUAUGAUUCCACGUGUAUGAGGUAUCUACUAAAGCAGUCAAACUCAUGGAAGGAGAAAUGUGAAUGGUGAUACCAAGGACUAGUGAGGGAGAGAAAUGGGGAGCUGCUGUUCAAUGAUUAUAGACUUUCAGUCAUGCAAGAUGAAAAAUUUCUAGAGAUUUGCACAACAGAUAUGUAUAACAAUGGGCAUGUAGUUAACAAUACUGUACUGUACACUUAAAAAUUUGUUGAGAGGGUAUAUUUCAUGUAUGUUGUUGGGUUUUUUUUUACCAUAAUAAAAACAAAAAUGCAAACAAAAAACACCUAAUGCCUGGCUCCGCUCUAACCAAUUAAAUCAGAAUUUCUGGGGGUUGGGUGUUGGGCAUCCCUUUGUUGUUUUUGAUGAUGUUGUUUUUCCUCUUUUAGCUGUGCACAUUAGAGAGCUUCAUGCUAAAAAGUCUCCAUAAAACAUUAUCAUCUUCUUCUUCUUUUUUUUUUUUUUUUCUUGAGACAGGGUCUCACUCUGUCACCCAGGCUGGACUGCAGGGACCCAUUUUGGCUCACUGCGGCCUCAACCUCCUGGACUCAAGCAAUCCUCCCACCUCAGCCUCCCAAGCAGCUGGGACCACAGGCGUGCGCCACAAUGCCUGGCUAAAAUAGUUUUGUUUUUUUGUUUGUAGAUAUGGGGUUUCUCCAUGUUUCCCAGGCUGGUCUCGAACUCCUGAGCUCAAGCAAUAUGCCGAUGUCAGCCUCCCAAAGUUCUGGAUUACAGGCAUGAGCCACUAUCUUCUUUUUUUAAAAUAUCCAUCCCUCAUCUCAUAUUUGCUCUCUAACAAUAACCGUAAUACUUAAUAAUAUCUGUUUUAAUCAAUGGCACCAUUGUCCUUCAAGUUACCUGCCUGGAAAUGUGAAUGUCAUACUAAAUUCACUCCAACUGCCAGUCAUCAAUAGUGUUAAUUCUACAUCUUAAAGAUCUAUCCAUCCCCACCACUCCAACCACAUCUUUAGGAUGGGUUUUUCUCACUUCUAAAAUUGAUAUCUAGUUAUGUUGCUCCACCUUUGAAAAUUUUCACCAAAUAGCCUAACUUUCAGAAUGAACUUUAAACUAAAGCUAAUAUGCCUCUUUUGCCUACUCUAUCCACUGAAAUAGAAGGAAGGAGGGUCAACUGAAAAGAGGUAAGCUUUACAUAGUAUAUUUUAUAUGCCUAUCAUUCAUAUUUCUUUCUGAGUACUAAUAAAAUUAGGGUUUGGGUUUUGACUGGACCUUGCUAUUCUAAACGUUGCAAUUGAUUUCUAUAUGGCUAUGCAUGUCCUGCCCAAGUCUACAUGAUCUUACCCUUGCCAACUGCUCAGCCUCAUCUUCACAUGCAAGCAAUGCUCCAUCAUUUCCAGUCUCCUCUCAACUCCUCAGAAGAGCCAUCUCUCUGCCAUUUGAACAUUGGCACAGGUUGUUCAAACUCUCUACACCUUCCUUCUUCCUGCCCUCCACCAGCUCACUAAUCCUUCUCCAGACUUCAAGAUCAGCUUAUAUAUUACAUUGGCUUAGGGUUGGGAACAGGGAUGGUCACAGCAACAGAUGAUAUAACAAAGAUGGCUGGCAGUGCCCAAGGACUUUUGAGCCUAUGCACCUUCAUUUCCAAAGCUGCCUUCUUGAAGCCAUCCUGGCCAGCUUCAUGGAGUUUACAGGACCCACUCAUCCCUUUGUCUUUUACAGGUUACCCAAAAAGAGAUGCUCUAGAGGAAAUGGCACAAAGCCAUAGAAUUUUAAUUGCAGUUUGUAAUUACAAAUGUGAGUAAGUCAAAGUUUGCAAAAUCUGUAAAACUGAGAAAUUACUAUGAAUUUUGCAACAAUGACAAGAAUAGUUGUGAGUAGGUCCACACAAACAGAUGAGUUAUAUAAAUACAGGAAGCAACUUUUCUCACCCAUCCCCAACCACUACAACCAAAGCCAAAAUAUACCUGUUGGCUACCACCCACUAAAAUAUGAGCGGGAGAGGUCAAAUGAGAAGAGGUGAGAUUUAUAUAGCAUAUUUUGUAUCCUUAUAAUUAAUAUUUCUUUCUGAGUACUAACGAAAUUGGAAUUUGAGUUUUAAGUGGGCCUUGCUGUUCUAAACGGUGCAAUUGAUUUGGAUAUUGCUAUUGAUUUGCUUUUUAGGCUAUUAUCUACUUGACAACCAGGAAGAAUGAUCUUCUUUGGAUCUGACCUGCCAGAUUUGAUUCCCAAGGAAUGAUGAACAUCCAUUAGAGGGUCCAUAUAUAUUAAUGAGCAAGAGGGUGUUGAACUGCAUACUCUGUAAUUAUAUCCACAAUUGCUUCCACAUUUAAAACAAGUUUUGAUAUUAUUUGCAUGCAUCAUUGAAAACCAAUUAUUUAUACAUGUUGCAAUUUUGACUCAUAAAAAAUGAACAUUUGUUUUAUACUUUUUGAGUAGAGAAAAAUGCAAUGAAUAGAAUAUAAUCGGUUCCCUAAAAUUAUCAGUUACCAAAAAUAUUCCUUUUUGAUCCAAGAAAGUCUGUGAAAUAUGAAUGUUUGCAUUAUUUAGUUUGUUUACUUGCUUGUAGUUAUUCUUGUUAAAAUUUAAAAGUCCAAUUAUUUGACUAUGACAUAGGAAUUAGGUCCAAAUAAUUAGAGAAGCAUUUGCCCAUUGGUAAUUAAAGUUUCUGGGUGAAAGGAAUUUAAAAGGUUAUAUAAGAGAUAAUAAGUAAUAUUAUCUUCUAGUGAGUAACUAUUCCCUUAGUUCUUUGGAAAGGGAAUAUUAACUCUUCCAGUCUGUAUUUUUGUUCAUUUUAUUCAAAUGUGACUUGGAAGGAAGGGUUAGUUGUAGUUAAUAGAUACCAGCUACAUGCCAGACACCGCCAUGAAAACUCGGAACACAAAGACAAAUAAGAAAAACCUCCUUCCUCAAGAAACUUACAUUUCAGUGGGCUGCAGUGCCUAGAAGUUUAAAAUAUCACAUAUCGGAAGUUAUCUUCUAUCCAAUAUGCUCUCCACCAACACUGAGGAAAGCCAAGACCUCGCAUUAAGUGUAGGAACAAUCAUAAAUAUUUCAGGGGUUACAAAAAUGUCUGCAGGCUCAUAAAAUUUUGGAACUUAUGGGGAAAAAUUAAAUUUACUGAUGGGAACACACAGACGAAGCCAAGCUUGCUCAUUUCUUCUGCAGCCCCUUCACAUAUGGGAGACAGGGUAGUAGGGAGGUUUGGAGAAGUUGAGUGCACUGGUCCUGGAGUUAGGCUAGAAGGAGUCUUUGCUGUCUUUUAGGUUAUGACUUUAAGCAUCUUAUGUAGCAACCCCUUGCCUCAGUUUAUACUGCUGCAAAAUGGAAGUAAUAAUUGUGCUCACCCCAUAGGACUGUUACAAAGAUUAAUUGAUAACAGGGUCAAAAGGGGCUUAAUCAACACAAGCUACUACUGUAAUGAUCACAUUCACUUCUCUCUCAACCCAAAUUCUUCAGUAUCAUUGGAAUUCAGUUCUAAAUCCAUCUCAAUUAGGUCCCUUUAAGAUGAACUCUAGACAUUUCCUGAGGCUGGCUUGAAAAGGAGAGGGAGUAGGGGAUGAAUUCUUUCUCACUCUCUGCCAUCAGAUUUGAAACGACUUCAUUAGUGGCCCAUUUUUUUUUUUCAUACUGCAAGCUUUAGGGGCUUUGAAGAAAUCCACCUAAAAAUGCAGAUUCCCCUGGGAAUGGCCUAUUCCAGUUUUAAGGAGAACAGAGGUGUCAGGUGUAAGGCUCUGUGUUGAGGGGAAGCGAGGGCUUUGCAGCUGCCUUUGUAAACACUAUAUUAGGAAGGAAAAAAAAAUCCUGGCUCAAUGCCACCUUUUCCCCCCGUGCCCUGAGAACUGUUGCAGGUCCUUCCCCAAAGCCACAUCUGUGAAAGACAGAACUGGUAGGAACAAUCCUCAAUAUACAAGUGCCUAGGAAGCCAGGCAGAUGACGAGCUCAGGGGAGCUGGGAGAAGAGUGGCCAAUCCAUCCUUCUAUUGGCAGAAACUUCAAGGAAGCAGAGGUUUGUACAGGUCAGAGUAUUUUUUUCACUAUGUCUUAGAUUGCUGAGGUGAGGAGAAUGCAGCACAGUGAAGCCAACACAGAAUCAAGUGGCCCUUCUCUUCCAUCACUGAUGUUCUGAAUCACAUUGCUGUGGUGGGUAAUAUUGCUAUCUGCAGGAGAAGAAAUGAAAUAGAGAUGGUGAUGCUUUGUCUGAUUAAACCAGCGCUGCCCAGUAGAAAGAGUGAGAGGCACAAACAUGAAGGUGUCAUUUUAAACUUUCUAGUAACCCAUAUCUAAAAAGAGGGGAAAGAAAGAGAAAUUUAUUUUAACAAAGUGUUUUCUUUAACCCAACAUAUCCAGUACACCAUCAUUUCAUCAAGUAACCAAUUAAAAAAUUACUAAUAAGAGCUUUUACAUUCCUUUUUCUAAGGCUUCAAAAUCUGGUGUGGAUUUUAUACCUAUAGCACAUUGCAAUUUGGACCAGGCACAUUUCAGGGCUCAACAGCUUCAUGUGCCUAGUGGCUAUCAUUGUGGACAGAAAAGGACUAAACUCUUCUCUAAAAAUUGACAUAAAGCAGAAACUUCCUGGUCGUUAGACCAAUAUAGUGCUCUCCAUUUGAGUGCAUUGGAAUGAUCUGAGAUUCAAUGUAUAAAUUACAGGCUUUUCAGCCCCAAGCUCUGAACUGUCACUUGAUCUCUCUUCUGCCAGCAGGAGGCAGUGGUCACUCGAAUCCCAAAUCCCUGGUCCUCAGCCUCACCUAAGAAGUAUCUUUUUGGUCAAUUUCUUUCCAUUUCUUAGAGUUUCCAAGAAGUUCAGUGUUACAGCUUUCUGGGGUACUCACACCUACUUUUAAGAGUUUCCAGGUCUUUCUGACAAAAGGCCAUGCAGGUAAGCGUCAAGAGCUGGAGAAGUGGCAGAUGUACUUUGUAAACAAUGCAGCAAACGCAGAUACUGGGUUGCUUAAGCAAGUCCUUGCAAAGGGGCAGGAAUGGGCAGAUGAGGCCUUCACCCACCACCCCCACAAGGCUUUGCUUUCCUUCCUUUCCAAAUGAUCCCACCCUGUCCUCAGGAAUCCAUAAUCCAUGAUGAAUACCUUUCUCCUGAUCACUCUCUCAGUCUCAGAAUGGUCCCUUUGAGGCCAUCUGCUCUGGACUCUGGCUUACUCUACAGCUCACAAAGAGGUUCCUCACUUUCCUGUACCUCCAGAGAUCCUACUGGUCUCAGUCCAAAGGUCUCCACCUUAGAGAAAUCUUUUAUUGACCCACAACUAGAAUAGGUGUAAGUGAGAUAAGUGUGCAUUCUUCUUAGCUCACAGUGGUGUUCUCUUAAUUGUGGCACCUCCCACAUUUUAUAAUUAUGGUCAACCUGGGUGAUUGUCUAAUUGUACUAUAAUCUAUUCCCCCAUAUGCUUCAUGUAAACAGAAAAUGGAUCUGUUUUGCCCACGUUUAAUAGAGAUAAUAUGAAAUGCUAGCCCCUCUUCCCCACCCUGUCGAGCCCUAUUGUGAGUUUGUUUAUUUAUUCAAGAUAGGGUCUUGCUCUGUCACCCAGGCUAGAGUGCAAUGGCACCAUCACGGUUCCCUGCAGCCUUAACCUCCUUGGCUCAAACAAUUCUCCCGCCUCAGCCUCCCAAGUAGCUGAGACUACAGGUGUGUGCCACCAAGCCUGGCUACUUUUUUAAUUUUUUGUAGAGACAGGGCCUUGGUAUGUUGCCCACGCUGGUCUCAAAUUCCUGGGCUCAAGUGAUUCUGCCACCUCGGCCUCCCAAAGUGCUGGAAUUACAGGCAUGAGCUACCUGGCCGGGCCCUUAAUGUGAGUUUAAUACGAUCCUAAACUCAGAGAAACUCAGUCCCCACACCCAACUAAAUAUUCAUUCAACUGUUUUUGUUCUCCUUGUUUUAUUUUUGUAUUUAAAUGUACACGGUUCUCCUCUGGUUCCUAUUUACAACCCUUCAUGAAGGUGCCUCACCAGGUGGGCAUAGCCUCCUUUGCACUGUAUUCCUUUCCCCUCCUCCAGAACCAAGGUUUUCCCCUGCUCCACCAAACCCUGUUGAACAUCUGCCUCCCAUCUCCCAGCUUCUCUGAUAUUUCAGAGACCCCUAGAAUUUUGCCUCUGUCCUAUGGAUAGACCAAGAACUUUCUGUGUUUCUAUUGCUAUGCUAUAUUCUUGAAGGGAAGGAAGACAUACCCUGAAAUCUCUACCUUUUAUUGUGAACUACAACUGCAAAAUCACAUCAAAAGGCUUAAGGGAAAAUAUUGGCAAAUUGAAAAGGCAGACUAGGAGCAGCUUGAUGUCCAGGCAACUACAAGUUCCUGUAUUUCAUAAGUCAACCUGGGCUUCAUUUUUUACUAUUUCUGCCUGUAGCUAUGACUUGUUUCAAAAUCCUACCUGAUACAUUAAGAAUUUAGAAAGCCUCAUGCAGGCUUCCUAUUUUCCACAAAUGACAAUAAACUAAAAGUCCUCCAGAGACAUUUUGGUCAUAGAAUAUGAUUGCAAGAUGGUGAUUUAGCCUACUGCCAGCAAAGAGCUCUUGUCUGGAAAGAACUAGUGCCAGAGACAGUGGCUUUGGAUGAUGGUCCUUCUGGUUUCAAUGAGCACCAUGAGUCACUGAAAAUAAAUGUCCGGGCAGCUUAAGGGGUCUCUGAUUGCAUGUAGAUCCAUGCCUGUGAAUGGUAGUACUAGAAAGGAUGAAAUGUGUGUGAGCUACAUAACAAAAGGAGGUUGGGCUGGAUGACUAGGAUGUGUUCUUGGAGAGAAGAGCUGAAGGUUUUCUUCUGUGGUUUUCAGAGAAAACAACAACAAAAUGAAACUCAGAGUGACCUGCACAGACCUAUUGAUAACAGCCAGUUCUCAUAGAGCAUUUUCACAUCAAUCUUCUGAGACAGACAGGGUAAGAGCAUUAUAGCCAUUGCAGAGGUGGGGAAACUGAGUCUAAGACCUGUUGAGGGACUAAGAGUAGCAAACAAAUAUGUAUUCAAAACUUGAAUACAUAUUUUCCUACUUCAUUCACUAUUCAAUAUUAUCUUAUCUCUCAGUUUUACUUUUACAUUUAAAGCCAAAAUUUAUUAACCUAGAAUGACUAUAUGUAGAGGACUGCUUACACAAACAAAAGGUGGUGUCUUUGAAUUGCAUGGUGCAAGUGACUUGAAAAUUACCUUAACCUACUAAUAUGAUUAGAAAGUCUGCUGAAGGGUGUGGUAAUCAUGUGCAUUUCUACAGAUUAUGACACUGUUUUUACACACGUACAAUGAUGUAGAACAGGAAACCAUAAUUACUUGUAACCAGAUUUAGAAAAAUUUUUUUGUUGUCUUGAUAUUUUUUCAGCAUGUUGUCCUAGAAAGCAGGCAAAGGAGGAAAAAGAGAAUGUGUACAAAGAAAAUACCCUUUUUCAUACAGAAAAAAGGGCAGCAUUAUAAGGAAGAACCAUGUACACACACACACACACACACACACAUACAAAUACACACACAUAUAUCUAUUCUUCUUUUCCUCUAGGUCUUAAUAAAAACACAAAAGCAGCUUCUGCAAACAGUAGACAGUUCCAGGGGAAAAGCCAGUGCCCAGAGCACUCCCAACCCAAUCAAUCAAACCCUAGACCUAGAGCACAAUUGAGCCAUUUUCUUUUUAUUACAACAAUUCAAAAAUUUGGAAGAGAAAAACCCAUCUGUAAUCUUACCAGCCCAACAUGACUAUUUCCAGUUUUGCAAAUUUCCUUCUAGUUUUUCUUAAUAUGAGUAUUUUUUCUAAAGUCCCUAACAUGUAGUCAUUUUUUUUGAGUUGCAUCAAAUACUUCAGAAGAAAAUAAAUUUAAAUGCCAUCACACUCUUGAAUUUGUGGUGGCCAUGUUAUAUUUACUUUGGAAGUUAUCUCAGAACUUUUUUUUUGAGACAGAGUCUCACUCUUUCACCCAGGCUGGAGUGCAGUGACACAAUCUCGGCUCACUGCAACCACCGCCUUCUGGGUUCAAGCGAUUAUCAUGCCUCAGUGUCCUGAGUAGCUGGGAUUACAGGCAUGCACCACCACACCCAGUUAGCUUUUUGUAUUUUUAGUACAGACAGGGUUUCACCAUGUCGGCCAGGCUAGUCUCGAACUCCUGGCCUUAAAUGCCCACCUCUGCCUCCCAAAGUGCUAGGAUUACAGGUGUGUGCCACCAUGCCCAGCCUAUUUUAGAACUUUAUCUCUUAGGCAAAAGUUUCUGCUUCAGAAGUUGUACUCAAGUUAAAGAGAAUUUAUUAAUGUUGCCCUCAGAUCACACAUGGAGCCCAGCG